rnacentral:rRNA from 1 species
UACGGAGGAGGCAAGCGUUAUCCGGAAUUAUUGGGCGUAAAGCGUCCGCAGGCGGCGAUUCAAGUCUGCGGUUAAAGACUGGGGCUUAACCCUGGAAAGGCCGUGGAAACUGAAACGCUAGAGUGCAGUAGGGGUAGAGGGAAUUCCCGGUGUAGCGGUGAAAUGCGUAGAGCUCGGGAAGAACAUCAGUGGCGAAAGCGCUCUGCUGGACUGCAACUGACGCUCAGGGACGAAAGCUAGGGGAGCAAAUAGG